AUGAGGAUGUGGACAGCUUGGUGCAUGGCCAUGUACUUCUUGGGAGCAAGAGCUGAAAUCACCCAGACCUUAAGUCUUGUGCUGAAAGAAGAUGAGAAAGCUACUCUGACGUGCAGCCAAAAUAAUGAUCACGGUUCAUGUACUGGUAUCUGCAGCAGCCAGGGAAGGGGUUGCAAAUGAUCUAUUAUUCCUAUGGUACAAAUCUGCAACAAGGGGAUGACAUUCCCACUGGAUACAAAGCUAACCGGAUAAACCGGGAAAACUUCAAUCUGGAUAUUUUGUCUGUGAAGAUGAACCAUUCGGGUGUCUAUUUCUGUGCCAGCAGUUUGGACACAACACUUCAAAGUCACUUGCUUUCUUUACAGAAACUUCUUUCCAGCACCCUCCCUUAA